rnacentral:rRNA from 1 species
ACGGGUGAGUAACGCGUGGGAAUCUACCUUUUGCUACGGAAUAACUCAGGGAAACUUGUGCUAAUACCGUAUGUGCCCUUCGGGGGAAAGAUUUAUCGGCAAAGGAUGAGCCCGCGUUGGAUUAGCUAGUUGGUGGGGUAAAGGCCCACCAAGGCGACGAUCCAUAGCUGGUCUGAGAGGAUGAUCAGCCACACUGGGACUGAGACACGGCCCAGACUCCUACGGGAGGCAGCAGUGGGGAAUAUUGGACAAUGGGCGCAAGCCUGAUCCAGCCAUGCCGCGUGAGUGAUGAAGGCCCUAGGGUUGUAAAGCUCUUUCACCGGUGAAGAUAAUGACGGUAACCGGAGAAGAAGCCCCGGCUAACUUCGUGCCAGCAGCCGCGGUAAUACGAAGGGGGCUAGCGUUGUUCGGAUUUACUGGGCGUAAAGCGCACGUAGGCGGACUUUUAAGUCAGGGGUGAAAUCCCAGAGCUCAACUCUGGAACUGCCUUUGAUACUGGAAGUCUUGAGUAUGGUAGAGGUGAGUGGAAUUCCGAGU